rnacentral:rRNA from 1 species
AUUGAACGCUGGCGGCAUGCCUUACACAUGCAAGUCGAACGGUAACAGGUCUUCGGAUGCUGACGAGUGGCGAACGGGUGAGUAAUACAUCGGAACGUGCCUAGUAGUGGGGGAUAACUACUCGAAAGAGUGGCUAAUACCGCAUGAGAUCUACGGAUGAAAGCAGGGGAUCGCAAGACCUUGUGCUACUAGAGCGGCCGAUGGCAGAUUAGGUAGUUGGUGGGAUAAAAGCUUACCAAGCCGACGAUCUGUAGCUGGUCUGAGAGGACGAUCAGCCACACUGGGACUGAGACACGGCCCAGACGCCUACGGGAGGCAGCAGUGGGGAAUUUUGGACAAUGGGCGAAAGCCUGAUCCAGCAAUGCCGCGUGCAGGAUGAAGGCCUUCGGGUUAUAAACUGCUUUUGUACGGAACGAAAAGCCCCGGGUUAAUACCCUGGGGUCAUGACGGUACCGUAAGAAUAAGCACCGGCUAACUACGUGCCAGCAGCAGCCGCCG